rnacentral:lncRNA from 1 species
CACAUUUGCUUGACGAAAUCGUCGAUCAAGGUAUAGAGCUGGCACCAUGGAUACGAAGAGAUAAUCUGCUGUGAUCCCUCGGCAAUAGCAACCUGACUAGUCUCAUAUUCCCUGCUUGAUGGCAAACACACAGCAUGUACAGGGACGUUUUCUCAUAAGCCCUAGGUGCUGCCACAGCACUGGCAAUUGCAAGUGUACUAAAAGCAAUUUUAGUCAUGUUAGAGGAUUACGCUUCAGGCAUGGGCUGCGCUUGGGUCAAAGGCAAUAUUGUCUGUCCAGAUCAGGGCAGGUAGGCACCAACCCUUUUUUGACUGAAAGUAUGCUCUGCAGAGGAUCGGUUCAUGCAAGGUUGGUUGUCACGGCAGAUGGAUUGUUCACAAGCUGACAGUAGGUGGUAGAAGAACAGGACACCCUGAGACAGAGUUUGGACAACCUUGGAGAGGAGGUCUACAUAGAGGAGGUCUACAUGGCGCUCGCAGAGCGACUGACUGCUCUUACUGCUGACUUUCAAC